UGGGGAAUAUUGGACAAUGGGGGAAACCCUGAUCCAGCAAUGCCGCGUGAGUGAAGAAGGCCUUAGGGUUGUAAAGCUCUUUCGCCCGCGAAGAUAAUGACGGUAGCGGGAGAAGAAGCCCCGGCUAACUCCGUGCCAGCAGCCGCGGUAAUACGGAGGGGGCUAGCGUUGUUCGGAAUUACUGGGCGUAAAGCGUACGUAGGCGGACAUUUAAGUCAGGGGUGAAAUCCCGGGGCUCAACCCCGGAAUAGCCUUUGAGACUGGAUUGCUAGAAUCCUGGAGAGGUGAGUGGAAUUCCGAGUGUAGAGGUGAAAUUCGUAGAUAUUCGGAAGAACACCAGUGGCGAAGGCGGCUCACUGGACAGGUAUUGACGCUGAGGUGCGAAAGCGUGGGGAGCAAACA
rnacentral:rRNA from 1 species